rnacentral:rRNA from 1 species
CCAAUAGCGUAUAUUAAAGUUGUUGCAGUUAAAAAGCUCGUAGUUGAAUUUCGGGGUUAGUAGGUUGGUUAUGCCUCUGGUAUGUACUGGUCUCACUGAUUCCUCCUUCCUUAUGAACCGUAAUGCCAUUAAUUUGGUGUUGCGGGGAAUUUGGACUGUUACUUUGAAAAAAUUAGAGUGUUUAAAGCAAGCUAACGCUUGAAUACAUUAGCAUGGAAUAAUGAAAUAGGACGUUCGAUCUUAUUUUGUUGGUUUCUAGGAUUGACGUAAUGAUUAAUAGGGAUAGUUGGGGGCAUUAGUAUUCAAUUGUCAGAGGUUAAAUUCUUGGAUUUAUUGAAGACUAACUACUGCGAAAGCAUUUGCCAAGGAUGUUUUCAUUAAUCAAGAACGAAAGUUAGGGGAUCGAAGACGAUCAGAUACCGUCGUAGUCUUAACCAUAAACUAUGCCGACUAGGGAUCGGAUGAUGUUAAUUUUUUAAUGACUCAUUCGGCGCCUUACG